rnacentral:rRNA from 1 species
GUCCACGCUGUAAACGAUGGGCACUAGGUGUCCGGGGUAUUGACCCCCUGGGUGCCGCAGCUAACGCAUUAAGUGCCCCGCCUGGGGAGUACGGUCGCAAGAUUAAAACUCAAAGGAAUUGACGGGGGCCCGCACAAGCGGUGGAGCAUGUGGUUCAAUUCGACGCAACGCGAAGAACCUUACCUGGGCUAGACAACAGCGGACCGUCCUAGAAAUAGGAUUUUCCCUUCGGGGACCGCUGGUUCAGGUGCUGCAUGGCUGUCGU